rnacentral:rRNA from 1 species
GAUGAACGCUAGCUACAGGCUUAACACAUGAAAGUCGAGGGACCGGCGCACGGGUGAGUAAAACGUAUCCAACCUGCCUUUUACUCGGGGAUAGCCUUUAGAAAGAAAUAUUAAUACCCGAUAUAAAGGAUGGGGAUGCGUUCCAUUAGGUUGUUGGUGAGGUAACGGCUCACCAAGCCGUCGAUGGCUAGGUGUUCUGAGAGGAAGGACCCCCACAGUGGAAAUGAGACACGGUCCAAACUCCGACAGGAGGCUGCAGGGAGGAAUAUUGGUCAAUGAGCGCUAGCCUGAACCUGCCAAGUAGCGUGAAGGAUGAAGGCUUAUGGGUCGUAAACUUCUUUUAUAUAAGAAUAUGUAUUAUAUGAAUAAGGAUCGGCUAACUCCGUGCCAGCAGCCGCGGUAAUUC